rnacentral:rRNA from 1 species
GUGAGGAAUAUUGGACAAUGGGUGAGAGCCUGAUCCAGCCAUCCCGCGUGAAGGAUUAAGGUCCUAUGGAUUGUAAACUUCUUUUCUACAGGGAUAAACCUACUCUCGUGAGGGUAGCUGAAGGUACUGUAGGAAUAAGCACCGGCUAACUCCGUGCCAGCAGCCGCGGUAAUACGGAGGGUGCAAGCGUUAUCCGGAUUUAUUGGGUUUAAAGGGUCCGUAGGCGGGUCUGUAAGUCAGUGGUGAAAUCUCGCAGCUUAACUGUGAAACUGCCAUUGAUACUGCAGGUCUUGAGUGUAGUUGAGGUAGCUGGAAUAAGUAGUGUAGCGGUGAAAUGCAUAGAUAUUACUUAGAACACCAAUUGCGAAGGCAGGUUACCAAGUUACAACUGACGCUGAUGGACGAAAGCGUGGGGAGCGAACAGGAUUAGAAACCCCAGUAGUCC